GUAGAUUUCUAGAGUCAUUUUUCCUCUAGUAUUAAAGCACAUUGUUGGAAACCUAGCAUAUUGUCCAGCAGCUAAAUUGAUUUCUGUUGGGGUUGGUUGGUGUGGGAGAGGCCGCUUACACUUUUCCUGAUGACUUCUGACUUCCAGUUGUUGCUGUAUUGAAUUUUAAGUCUCUUCUCAGUCUUUCACUUCCUAUCUGUAAGGCCCCUUUUCUGCACUAUUUCACUCUGCUUUACACUGAAUCUCUCUACGAUCAGAGUACCUCUGAGUCUAGUCUAUGUGUAUAGCAGAUUUUCAUGAAGAACUUUGGGGCCUAAAGGAUAGUUAUAUAAAAUAUGCAGAAUAUUUGAUAUAACCUAACCUUCAAUGUUAGAUAGGCUUGUUCUUAAACUUGAUCAUUCCCAUUGCAGCUAAUUUUCAUUGGUUAUAUAUUUGACUUUGGCUGCAGUCUACUGUCAUGUAGCUGGGUUCCCUCUCUUCCUUCAACUGCUUCCCUUCUCUCUUCAGCUUGCUAAUCUUUAACCUCGAAAUUUCUGUUCACUUUUUCUGUAGAAUAGUUUACCUAUAUCUUCAAGCAGAAGAAUAUUACCAAGAACGGCUACACUAGGCUCUGCUCUGAAGGCCUUAUCUUCAUCACCAAAACAUUCCUUGUUAAAAGAAGUCCAAAAAUCUGUGCUAAAGGCAAAAGAAUUCCAAGCCUUGACGAUGCAAAAGAAAGAAAAUUUAUGAUGCCUCUAACGGAAGAGUUGAGAGAUUAUUCUACUCCCAGACAUGAGCCACAAGUGCUAAAGGAAAGACUGUUGUCAGUGGAAAGUUUAACAGGAUAUACAUCUCAGUAGGAAGAUGGGGAUGGAUCCAUGAGGAGUAGCUCCAGUCUUCAUUCACAGAGCACUUAAGUAGUAAGGCAAUAAUUCAACACAAGAGAAAUGCCUUCCAAGAUUUUCCCUGAGGAGUGAUUAAUACCUAAGAAGGGACAACUCAGGGUUUCACUUCUACCUUCUCCAUUUGAUGACUUUGAGAAUGACCAGAUAUGCCAUGUGGUAUGAUGGAGAGAGAAGACGUAAUUUGGAACCAGAACGCUUGGAUUACAUCCAGUACUUCUACUUAUGUAAGCAAGUCAAGUCUCUUUAAACCUCAGUUUCCUCAUUAGUAACAAUCUCUCCAGGUUGUUUUGAAAUCUAUUGAGAUAAAAAGAUUGAAAUAUAUUCUACAAUUUUGCUUGUGUUUUUUACUGCUACUUGUGCGUAUAAAUUCCAGAACAUUCCAAGAGAAACAGCAUGAUUUAGUUGUGCAAACACAGAUGCUGUGAUGGAAAUCUAGCUCUGCCACUCUUAAGAAGCAUGAAGGAUUUGAAUGUUCCUUCCAUUCCUUUAGGAUACAUCCAAAGAUGUGCCUGGCACAGAGGAUCCCUGGGAAGUUUUUCCAGUUGAUAUGAAAAAAAAUCUUUGAGGUUCGUUAUGUAAAAUUUUAAAAUGUAAAGUAUUCAACUAAAACAAUCUUUUCUAAAAGUAUGUUUUCUUUAAUUCUACCAUGCACACACACAAAAAAGUCUGGCCAGUUGUUUAUAUAAAUGACAACCCCUUUUGAUGACAUGAGUUUUAAGAGAAAUCAACCCUUGGAUUAAGCUGCCAUGCCUUUUGCAUUCAACAUAAAGUG
rnacentral:lncRNA from 1 species